rnacentral:misc_RNA from 1 species
UUUUUUUUUUUUUUUUAAAUGAAACAGUUCAAAAGUACUCCCCGAGUGAGCACAUUGAUCCAGGAAUCCAUAUAUCAUCUAAUACGACCCUAAAAUAGACUUCCCACGAGACUAAGAUUAUUAAAAUAUGGAACCAAGGAACCAAGAUUUAUGUUUGCGAUGAUAAAUGAAAUAUUAAAUUCUCAACGUUAAUGAAGAGAUGCUCCAAGUAACUUCAGCGAAUUGCACAGGCAUAUACAUUUCCUGCUUAACAUGUAAAAACAUCAUCAAGAGAAUUUUAGAUACAGUAAAGUGGUCUUAAGUAAUGAAGGAAAAAAAAAAUAUAUUUCAUCCAGUUACUUUUAGUUUCCAAAAAAAUGAAUUACAUGUCAGAAAAGCUUUUUAUCUUUCCAGUCUAUUCAUCAUUUGGACAAACCAAUGUGGCAAUGUGGGCCAACAGAAAUUUAAAUAAUACUUCAGUAGUUGUACAAGAAUAAAAUAUAUAAUCUUUUUAGGCAAUUUUUUGAAUCUAAUGACUCUAAAUUGCUAUCAAAGACAGUAUGAGGUAAACUACUACUGUGUUAGGUUAUCAAUCACAAGGCACAAAAUAACAUUAUACUUUAUUCAGUUUUUCCUUUCCAUAUUCCUUGAUUGAUUCUUUUAAGAAGUAAAUAUAUCCUUACAUCUAGAAUGAAGAAAGAUAAAGAUUACCUUGUCCAAGAAUCAGAAAAGCAGUUGCAGCCAAUGUAACAAGAUCAUGUAUCCUUUCACCAGCAAAAAUUGCUUGAAUAACUAGUGAAAGAAAGAAGGAAGAAAGAAAGAAAAACAGAAUUUAUGCCAGAAUGCAAAUCACUAAACAUUCAUGGGGAAAAAGUGGAAAAAGUUGCAAAGUGUACAUUGGACAAAAUUUCAUAUGGUAGAUGGUGAUGUGCAAGUGUUGUUCAAUGAUGACAAAGCAACAGAACACAAAGUUAUGAUUUAUAAUAAAUUGAAGCAGCAAAAGAAGAAGGGAGCUCAAUGAGACCUGAGAUUUGAAACAAUUUUUCCUGACUCUCAUCUCCAUCAUUUUUAAUAACAGGAUCCAUUUCAGAUGCUGUCAUCAUGUGCACCGAGUGGAAUCCAUCUGAUAUCCAGAAAGUUUGAAUUCUUGAAGAAAUAUCAGGAAGAACAGCCAACUUUUGCACUUUCAUACUGUGAGGCAAAUGCAUCAUGUGCGAACUGAUGUUUGAUCCACCAACAGGGUUAGACAGGCACAACAUAUGUAAGUCUCCAGUAGAGUCCAAAAUCAUAAAAUUUUUGGGGGAAAGUGCCUGGAUGGAAACUGCUUUCACAGUUGAUUUUGAGCCUUCGACCUCUUUGCUCUUAAAGGCCACAAAACAUGCACCCCCUUCACCAGAAUCAUGUCUACAUCUUACAGACCUAUGCUUAACUGAAACAUAGUGCUUAUCAAUCUUAGCAUCCAGGGAACCAUUGCAAACAAUUGAACUACUAUGAUGAUCACCUCCAAUCACCCCAUUUGGCAAUCUCAACCCUUUACUGUCCAAUUUCCCAUUAAAAUCCAAAUUCCCAUUUGAAUUUGAACUCUUAACUCUCUUAACAUUCCCUUUCACUAGCUGCCUCAAAUUGAAAACCCUAACUCCAUUAUCCUCCCCCAAAAUCAAGUACCCAAAAGAAAUACUAAUGGACCAAACCGGCAGACAACACUCAAUGACAGCACACCUCAUCAAUUUAACCGCAUCGCCAACACCAUCACCGUCACCAUCACCAAUGGGUUUCAAUGCAAAAACCCAAACAUUCCGGUUAGAAACUGAAUACAUGACAAAAAAAUUAAUAGACCCAACAACCUUUAUCGAAACCCCAUGAUUCACAUCCACUAAAACUCCAAACUUUGAAUCAAACCCAAGUCCCUUCUGGUUGCAAACAACUUGAGACUUACUGAAAACAUUGUUACUCUUGAGAAUAUAGAACCUGAGAAGGAUCUGGGAGCCACCCUUAUGUGGGCCAGCAACAAGGAAGAGAACUCUGGGGUGAGCGAGGUGAUGGUGGUGGAGGAGGAUGAAGGAGGACGAAGAGGAGGGAGGAGGGAUUAGGGUUUGGGGUUUGGAGGGGAGAGAGGUAAGGGAGGGAAAGGGAAGGGAAGGAAAGAGAGAGAGGGAGGAAUCAGAAUGCAUUAAGGCUAGAGAGAGAGAGUUUGGCUCCAGAAGAAAGGAGUUUGUCUGAGUCGAAGAGGAAGGGAGAGAGAGUUUGGAGGAUUGGACAAGUACCAUUAGGGGAAGAACCUCAGAUUUUGUUGUUAGGACAUUGGAGAAGGAUUCCU